rnacentral:tRNA from 1 species
GGGAGUGGCUCUGGCUUAGUGGUAGAAUAUCUGCUUACCAUGCACAAGGUUCCAGGUUCAAUCCCUGGCAUCUCCA